GACGCGAUCACGACUCUCUCUGACGCGAUCUCUCUGACGCGAUCACGACUCUCUGUCUCUCUCCUCAUCGCCGCCCUAGCCCGUAGGCCGUAGCAACUGCCCUAGGCCCUAGCCUGGCUAGCGACGCCGACGAGCCGACGAGAGGAGAGACGACGCGUCGACGCCGCGACGGCGCGACCACGCGAGCAGCCCCCACGCGGCCACGGCCACGCCGCCGCGCGCGACGCCGUGACCGGCGACCUGCUGCUGUCCUGCUGUCUGCUGUCUGUUUAAUAGUGUUCGUCAGUUCGUGUGCCGCUGGACGCCGCCGCGAGGAGCCGUCGUCGAGCCGAUCAGCCGCCCGCGCCAACACAAGAUUGUUGAUUGUUGAAUCAUGAAGAAAGAUGGAGUUAUCGUAUCGCUUUUUCUUUAAAGUGGAUGAAGAGGAUAUAAUGAACACUUUCAUGGCCAUUAGAAGACGUAGACCCGAUAAGAAGAAAAAGUAAUAUGGUAAUUUUCUUUAAGCUUUCAUAGCCGUACAAGCUUCUUUAAAUCAAAAUUUUACUUAAUUACUAAUUUUAUAUAUUUUAAGAUGUUUUGUUAAUAUAUCAUGGUAAGUUUUUGAUAAUUUGAUCUAUUUUAUUACUUAUAGUUACAUUGUAUAUAUUAGUAUCGUUAGGUUUACUGUGUUUAGAAAAAAAAUUUUAGGUCGGACCACCCAUAUCCUAAAUUCUAGAUCCGCCACUCUGCAUCACAGGUGAACAUCCAUUGACUGAUCGACGUUUGCCAAUACCGGUCGGAAAUUUGAAGAUCAUAUUAACAUGCCGUGUUGUUGUUGACAUUGCCCAAGUGCAUGCCCACGAAACUUCGAGGAAGCUUCGUAGAUUUGCCAUUCACGGCGUAACGGAACACCGGAAAUUGUCUUAAAAAUUGUCACCAUCCACAUGCGUAUCCAUCGUCGGCUGGAACACCAUGGUCGGCUGGAACACCAUGGUGCUGGAACACCAUGGUCGGCUGGAACAAAUUCAACUUCCCGUAUCCUAGUUGACUGGAAUUGAAGGUACAAUUUCCAACAUUCGCUUCCAAACAAGGCCUAUAAAGUCCCAUCCCCUCGACCUCUCGCCAUUGUCCACCUGCCACGUACGGCCCAACCCGCCACCGAAUUCGAUUGCUCCAGUGACCAUGGACGACGCUGGCAACAGCAGCAAGGAGGCGGAGGCGCAGGCGCCGGCGCCGGCGAACCAGGCCCCUGCCACCGCCGCCGCCGCCGCCCGCGGCGCGAUUCAUCGCGGGCCGAUGCUGCGCCUCGCCGCGAUGCAGCUGAUGCUGUUCGCGGCGUACGAGAUCGUCAGCUCGUACGCCGCGCCGCCAGUGGCGCUUCCCCGCCUCUUCGCGGCGUUCGUCGCCUGGCUCGUCGGCUGCCUCUCGCUGUUUGUCGCGCCGCCCUGAAGGGCUGCACGUUUCAUCGGAGGUUGAAAGCAUAGCCAUCAGGUAUUCAGGAUUAAUCUAUCAGCAUCAAUCAUCAGCGGUAGUGUGGUGUAACGGGGCUCGUUUUUUGUUUUUUUUUUCUUCUUUAUGUGGAGUGGGAGUAUGACGUUCUGCAGGUUUAUUUAUGUUGACCACUCGUUGUUUAUUCGGACUUGUUUGUCCGUUUCAGCAGUAGGCUACUGUUAGGCUGCCUGUAUCAGAUUUCUCUGCACAUGAGAGCAGGUAAAAUAGCAUGCUAUUAGCCAGCUAUAAAUAUAUUUUAAUGAGAUAAAAGAUAAGA